AUUGAACGCUGGCGGCGUGCCUAACACAUGCAAGUCGAGCGGUAACAGGUGUAGCAAUACAUGCUGACGAGCGGCGAACGGGUGAGUAAUGCUUCGGAAUCUACCCAAUGGUGGGAAUAACCGAGCCGAAAGGUUGGCUAAUACCGCAUACGUCCCACGGGACGAAAGCAGGGGAUCGCAAGACCUUGCGCCAAUGGAUGAGCCGAAGUCGGAUUAGCUA
rnacentral:rRNA from 1 species